rnacentral:rRNA from 1 species
GAUGAACGCUAGCUACAGGCUUAACACAUGCAAGUCGAGGGGCAGCGCAGUGUAGCAAUACAUGGGCGGCGACCGGCGCACGGGUGCGUAACGCGUAUCCAACCUUCCCGUUACUCAGGGAUAGCCUUCCGAAAGGGAGAUUAAUACCUGAUGGUGUUCAAAUUCCGCAUGUUAUUUGAACUAAAGAUUUAUCGGUAACGGAUGGGGAUGCGUGACAUUAGAUAGUAGGCGGGGUAACGGCCCACCUAGUCUACGAUGUCUAGGGGUUCUGAGAGGAAGGUCCCCCACACUGGAACUGAGACACGGUCCAG